AGGUAAUGGAGUCCAGGUGUGUCUCAUAAUGAAGCGCAGGUGUGCGUAAUGAUUGAUGACAGGUGUUCUUAAUGAUGGUUGCCAGGACCAAUGGUUAGUAACCCGGCGGAGGGGAGGAGUGGGAGUAGACGUGACAUGAAGCUCAUGUAAAGAUUUGGUUGAUUCCAUCUAUCAAACAGGUAGCCCUUUCAAAGUAUCAGUGAAGAAUGCUUCUGAUGUCAGUGAAGUCAUAGUGUCUGGGUCAAGCUUGGAGUCAGGAGUUUGUGUCAAAACUCCUCAGACCUUCACCAUAAACUGUAGCAAGGCUGGAGAAGUACUAGCAUCUGUGGCUGUUAUGACACCAAGUGGUAAGGUAGAAUUUUUGGAGGUGACAGACAAUGGUGAUGGGACAUACUCAGUGGCCUACUACCCUUCUAUGGUGGGUCCUCACUCUGGUGGUCAAAUAUGCCUAUGAAGAGGCAUUCUCCAGGGGUUGGUACUUUUUUUGUUAGGGCAAGUCAAGACUUUAGAAGCCCUUUACACCUUGAAUACAGAGGACAUUUGCUGCAACAACAGGGCUUGGAGUCAGGAAUUUGUGCCCACAUUCCUCAGACCUUCACCAUUGACUGGAGAGGCCCCAGAAUCUGUGGCUGUCAUGACACCUAGUGGUAAUAUAGAGCUUGCAAAGGUGACAAAGAAUGGGGAUGGGACAUACUUAGUGUGCUACUCCCCUUCCAUGGAUUCUCUGGUGGCC
rnacentral:lncRNA from 1 species